rnacentral:rRNA from 1 species
UGGGCAACCUGCCCCUAGCUCUGGGAUAACUCCGGGAAACCGGGGCUAAUACCGGAUACGACCUCGAGCGGCACCUCUUGAGGUGGAAAGUUUUUCGGCUAGGGAUGGGCCCGCGGCCUAUCAGCUUGUUGGUGAGGUAACGGCCCACCAAGGCGACGACGGGUAGCCGGCCUGAGAGGGCGACCGGCCACACUGGGACUGAGACACGGCCCAGACUCCUACGGGAGGCA